UACAGAGGUCCCAAGCGUUGUUCGGAUUCACUGGGCGUAAAGGGUGCGUAGGUGGCCAGGUAAGUUUGGUGUGAAAGCUCGGAGCUUAACUCCGAAAUGUCAUUGAAUACUAUCUGGCUGGAGGGUCGGAGGGGAGACUGGAAUUCUCGGUGUAGCAGUGAAAUGCGUAGAUAUCGAGAGGAACACCAGUGGCGAAGGCGACUUCCUGGCCUGUUCUUGACGCUGAGGCGCGAAAGCUAGGGGAGCAAACGGG
rnacentral:rRNA from 1 species